rnacentral:misc_RNA from 1 species
GGGUAUUCGAUCCCACCGAGGGAAGGUCUUGGCUGCCUUCCUGAAGGCAAUUGGUUUUAUUAUCCCUCUCAUGGAUGCGAUCUACGCAAGCUACUACACGAAGGAAGUCAUGCAUAUAUUGAUCCGUGAGUUCCAGUCUCCGGAUGAAGAAAUGAAGAAGAUUGUACUGAAGGUUGUCAAACAGUGUGUGAGCACAGAAGGUGUGGAAUCUGAUUAC